AUGGCCAGGUCCUCCGACGCCAGCCACCGGAGAAGGAAGCAAACUCGACAUCCAAUCGUCCAGACCUUCUCUCGACCCAGCAGGGAGGACGAGUAUGUGUUGGAGGGCGCUGCCGGCGGCGCCAAAAGUAGCUCAACAAGAACCACCGUCACGUGGAGGCAAGACACUAUCGACACGGAUCCGCUUCGUCUGCGCCGGCAAGGGCCAGCCAUUCUAGAUCCGACCAGGUACGAUGCAUCCUACCUUUUCCAACUGCCGAAUACUUCUCUAAAUCAUGGUGGGCACUGUCCAUGGAGGUUCAUAUGA
rnacentral:rRNA from 1 species